UCCAGGGAAUAGAAGCUGAAGGUUUAAAUGUUCCCAGUAGUUGCCAUAAUGCCAUCCUCUCUCCAAAAUCAGUGGAUGCGUGUACAAAGGAUCUUUUGCUGGAUGUGUCAUCUGUUCUGAACAUCUUUCGGGUCGCUUCUUGCUGCAUACGACAAGUUGCAUAUCAGUAGUUGGUUCUUGCUCUGGGGAUUUCCCCUCCCCUGGUUCAGAUGACGGAACAGGGUGAUGUUACGUAUGGGAGUUGAAGACAGUCAGUAGCAUAGUGUCCGAUCCUUCCACAGGAGAAGCAGAAGUGUGGGAGGCGCUCGUAUUUAAACUCCACCCAGAGGCAUUUGUUUCCAAUAUCCAGAACAGCUCCUGCUUUCAGCGGUCAUUGUAAACUUUUUCUAUUCUCCAACCAGGGGGGACUCCUCCAAUACGCACCCAGAAGGCUGCCUUAGAGAAGUCAUAACAAUGCUCUGGGACUUCUGGAAGACAUUGCUGUAGCACGAGCAGGUUGGUUGAAUAUGACCAAGGAUAGUUCACAUUUGGUUUGGAAAAUAAUUUGCCGAAGAGAGUACGCCUGCAUUCCUCCUUUUUCUGAUGAGGUAUUUCAUCAAACACUUCAACUACAUCUUCCUCAGACCACAGUUUGACGCUACCUCCGCGGGUUCCUCAACCAGACAAGACAAAGUUCGAAGACUCACGGAAUUAUGCCGAUUCUGCGGAGAUCAGGACUGGGAACAGUGGAUCGGCGCUUCACCUGAGAGAUGCUUUUUAUUCCAUUCUCUCCUGCGAUGGGGUCUCCAUGCUUCCACUUCAUCGGAGAUGGCAUCAU